CGAGCGAGAGAGAGAGUGUACACAUUGUAGACAACUUGCUGGAGCAAACCGUGAGAAUGGAAGAAAUGAAGAAAAAGAAGAAGAAAAGGAAAAGUGGAGAACUCAAUCAAAUUCUAUCUUAAAGACUAAUGGGUGGACAUCUGAGGCCUUACAUUGACUUAACCCACUGUGAGCAAACUAAGCAACAAGGACAGAGAAAGCCUUGGGGUCUACCUGUGUCAGCCUUUUGAAGAGCUUCCGGAAUGGAGCAAGUGAGGCUCGAGUAGAGCCAAGAAAAUCAGUCCUUAGCUUUGUCAGAGCUUUGAAUUUUGCUGAGUCUUAAAUGUAUAUGUGUGUGAGAUAUAUAAGAUUUGUAUAUAAAUUAUUAUUGUGUUUAAAUGUUUUAAUUAUUUUAGUCAUCAUGUAUGUACAAGCUCAAUGGACAUUGUUGUUUUUGUUUUGCUUC